CCUUCACACUGAAGACUAGGUCUGAAGGCAUCGCCGCUGAGGGAGAGAGUGUGCCCCCACCACCUGGGACUUCAGCUCCCGGCUCCAGAGGAAGAAACAAAGUGGAGAUCCGGAGAGGUGUCCUAAGUCCCACAGCCAGGAAGGUCCGAAGCUGGGAUUCCAGUCCAAAAUCCCUUGACUCCGAAGCUUGCGCCCUUCCAGCCACAGUCCUGCUCGGUUCUCCGGGACAGGAAUCCAGGGAGGCCCGGAAUAUCCCAACAUAAUCCCAUCUAAUACCUUUCAGGUGACACACCCAGGACGCCCUGGCACAGAUGGACCAGCCAGGACCAUAUUCAAGUCUGGAUAAAGAGCCCCGCCCCAGCCAAGGCCCUGAUGCCCAGCCACCCCACUGCUCUGGGCCCAGCUCUGGACCCAGUAACGGGAGGAAGGGGCACCGCACACCGCCAGCGCUGCUCCAAUGUGUAGGUAUUGUGGAUGUCAUCCCUGCCCACACAUCUGUGUUGGAGCAUGGGUUGGCCCCAGGCCUUGGUGCCUUGGAACCUGUUAUCUCCACCCCACCAGACCCCAUCCUGUCUCUUUC